UUUGAAUCUCUGAACUUCCCUUAGAAUGUUAAGUGUGAUUAAUGUUCUGCUCACAUGGUGAAUGGAAAAAUGUGGAGAUACAGAAGAGUGGUCCUGAGAACAGUCUGCAGAGCUGGGCUUCAAACAGCUGGCCUCGGUGGCCCCAACCUCUGUGCCGUCAGGGGACUCGCCAUGCCCCAGGACCAAAGCCAUAAUGGGAGAGUCUGCAGACCAGAGUGUGAUCAUGACUGCCAUCUCCUAGAUGUGAGCCCUCCAUCCCUUUAUCUUAAGGGGGCCCGUUUGACAUCCGCUGGGAGCCGAGGAGGGCCUCAGCUUCCACAACAACCACGUGAGUUUGAAAGCAGCUCCAUCCCAGGAUGCUGGGGGCUCAGUCAGCCCACAGUGAAGGAAGAGCAGUCUGCACGCCUAGUGUCCCCGCGGCAGCCAAGUCUGCAUACCCAGCUUGGGGCUCCCCGCGCGGCCUCUGCCAGAAGUGACCACGCAAGCAUCUUUAUCUAAUGCAAGAAUGCAUAAAAGACUUGGGAUUUUCAGAACAAUCAUCUACCUCUUUUUAUGGGAGGGAUAAACCUCUCAACCUAAAAGAAUAGUAUCCACACAGGGCUUGGAUUACCGCCUCAUAAAAC
rnacentral:lncRNA from 1 species